rnacentral:lncRNA from 1 species
CAUAUGUACAGCUUUCAACAAUGAGCAAAACUGAUACAGCAUAGUGAGCUAUAAAAUGUCCUGAAACAGGGUUAUAAGUAUUAUUAUUGGCAAUUCAAAAACCUGGGUUUUAUGAGUAUUGCAAUGCCCAUCCCAGUGGGAAAUACUAGUAAAAAACCUAGGUCUGGGUUUUACUAAAAAUCACCAUAAAGUCACCAAUUGAUCAUGUCGGAGCUCGAGCUUAAAAUAUAAUACAGUUUUCUCCUAAUUAUGAGUUUGGUAAAUCAUUGGAGAUUAAAUUGAUGUAAUCUUUUUUGCUUGAACCUUGACUACAGAAACAAACAUUACAUGUGGAUUUUAUUAUAUUACAGGAACUGUAGGAAGUUUUCCAAGAGUCUGAUUGCUAAGUAUGCAUUACAGGAUUUUAUCAUUGGAGCAACAUCUUAGGAGGAUAAACUUGUGCAAACGUAUGAAGGAAUCCUUGAAAUAUACAAAUAGCAAUUAUAUGCAGAAGAGGACUCUUAAACAUUAUAAACAGACAUGAAGUAAUAGUAGUGGUGUAUUCAAGAAGUGUAAACCACCUGGAAUAAACUAUUGUGUAUAUUUUUUCAACCACAAGUACUUUCAGAAUAUAGUACAAUUCAAAUUCAAAUUAUUGUGUCAACAGA